rnacentral:rRNA from 1 species
AGAGUUUGAUCCUGGCUCAGGAUGAACGCUAGCGACAGGCUUAACACAUGCAAGUCGAGGGGCAGCACAGGGUAGCAAUACUUGGGUGGCGACCGGCGCACGGGUGAGUAACGCGUAUGCAACUUACCUAUCAGAGGGGGAUAGCCCGGCGAAAGUCGGAUUAAUACCCCAUGAAACAGGGGUCCCGCAUGGGAAUAUUUGUUAAAGAUUCAUCGCUGAUAGAUAGGCAUGCGUUCCAUUAGGCAGUUGGCGGGGUAACGGCCCACCAAACCGACGAUGGAUAGGGGUUCUGAGAGGAAGGUCCCCCACAUUGGUACUGAGACACGGACCAAACUCCUACGGGAGGCAGCAGUGAGGAAUAUUGGUCAAUGGACGCAAGUCUGAACCAGCCAUGCCGCGUGCAGGAAGACGGCUCUAUGAGUUGUAAACUGCUUUUGUACGAGGGUAAACUCACCUACGUGUAGGUGACUGAAAGUAUCGUACGAAUAAGGAUCGGCUAACUCCGUGCCAGCAGCCGCGGUAAUACGGAGGAUUCAAGCGUUAUCCGGAUUUAUUGGGUUUAAAGGGUGCGUAGGCGGUUUGAUAAGUUAGAGGUGAAAUACCGGUGCUUAACACCGGAACUGCCUCUAAUACUGUUGAACUAGAGAGUAGUUGCGGUAGGCGGAAUGUAUGGUGUAGCGGUGAAAUGCUUAGAGAUCAUACAGAACACCGAUUGCGAAGGCAGCUUACCAAACUAUAUCUGACGUUGAGGCACGAAAGCGUGGGGAGCAAACAGGAUUAGAUACCCUGGUAGUCCACGCAGUAAACGAUGAUAACUCGUUGUCGGCGAUACACAGUCGGUGACUAAGCGAAAGCGAUAAGUUAUCCACCUGGGGAGUACGUUCGCAAGAAUGAAACUCAAAGGAAUUGACGGGGGCCCGCACAAGCGGAGGAACAUGUG